CUCUUCUCAUUUGCACCUCCAUUCACAUCUCUCUCUCUCUGAACUCAUCCGAACUCUAAAAGUAUAAACAAUGGAGGAAAGAAUAAAAGACAGCACCAAAGUCGAUCUCAAAAGGAUUUCUAAAUCAAUCAUCUUCUCCUCCUUCUGACCUACCAAACAAACACUCUUUAAGAAGGAGUACGAAGGAAUGAACAAUUGUAGCAACAGAACCAGAUGCGAUGGUGAAAUCAGAUGCUACUGGUUCAAAUCACUCGUAAGUGUGAAAAAACAAGAGAACGAUGAACAGGGUAUUGAGACUUCAACCUGGACAAGUACUGCUUGUUAGGAACACCAUCAUCAUUCGAGGAUGGAUGGAGUCGACCUGAUACCAUCAAGACUUGCAGUUUGAUAAUGUGAGGAUCUAAUUCAACACCUACUGCCCCUAUUUCUUUUAAUAAGAGUCCACCUCGACCUCCACCUAAUGCAGGUUCAGUUGGAGUGCAACUGGAGAUGCAAGUGCAGCUGGAGAUGAUCUUUACUGAAUCUGUUGUUGGAAUUUUUGCUUUUGUUUUACCUAUGUCUGUUGUGUAUAUGGCAUUUUUAAAAAAUCAAUUUGACUAGGUUAAUUUAUAAAUAAUCUUUAGUAAAAUAAUCUGUCAGUUUUGUGAAA